CCUACGGGAGGCAGCAGUGGGGAAUAUUGGGCAAUGGGCGCAAGCCUGACCCAGCAACGCCGCGUGAAGGAAGAAGGCUUUCGGGUUGUAAACUUCUUUUGUCAGGGACGAAGCAAGUGACGGUACCUGACGAAUAAGCCACGGCUAACUACGUGCCAGCAGCCGCGGUAAUACGUAGGUGGCAAGCGUUAUCCGGAUUUAUUGGGUGUAAAGGGCGUGUAGGCGGGAAUGCAAGUCAGAUGUGAAAACUAUGGGCUCAACCCAUAGCCUGCAUUUGAAACUGUAUUUCUUGAGUGCUGGAGAGGCAAUCGGAAUUCCGUGUGUAGCGGUGAAAUGCGUAGAUAUUAGGAGGAACACCAGUGGCGAAGGCGGUCUGCUGGACAGCAACUGACGCUGAGGCGCGAAAGCGUGGGGAGCAAACAGGAUUAGAUACCCUAGUAGUC
rnacentral:rRNA from 1 species